rnacentral:rRNA from 1 species
AGAGUUUGAUCCUGGCUCAGAACGAACGCUGGCGGCAGGCCUAACACAUGCAAGUCGAGCGCCCCGCAAGGGGAGCGGCAGACGGGUGAGUAACACGUGGGAAUGUGCCCGAAGGUACGGAACAACAGCUGGAAACGGCUGCUAAUACCGUAUGUGACCGAAAGGUGAAAGAUUUAUCGCCUUCGGAUCAGCCCGCGUCUGAUUAGCUAGUUGGUGGGGUAAUGGCCUACCAAGGCGACGAUCAGUAGCUGUUCUGAGAGGAUGAUCAGCCACACUGGGACUGAGACACGGCCCAGACUCCUACGGGAGGCAGCAGUGGGGAAUCUUGGACAAUGGGCGCAAGCCUGAUCCAGCCAUGCCGCGUGGAUGAUGAAGGCCCUAGGGUUGUAAAAUCCUUUCGUCAGGGACGAUAAUGACGGUACCUAAGAAGA